rnacentral:rRNA from 1 species
GAUGAACGCUGGCGGCGUGCUUAACACAUGCAAGUCGAACGAUGAAGCCCAGUUUGCUGGGUGGAUUAGUGGCGAACGGGUGAGUAACACGUGAGUAACCUGCCCUUAACUCUGGGAUAAGCCUGGGAAACUGGGUCUAAUACCGGAUAGGAGCGUCCACCGCAUGGUGGGUGUUGGAAAGAUUUAUCGGUUUUGGAUGGACUCGCGGCCUAUCAGCUUGUUGGUGAGGUAAUGGCUCACCAAGGCGACGACGGGUAGCCGGCCUGAGAGGGUGACCGGCCACACUGGGACUGAGACACGGCCCAGACUCCUACGGGAGGCAGCAGUGGGGAAUAUUGCACAAUGGGCGCAAGCCUGAUGCAGCGACGCCGCGUGAGGGAUGACGGCCUUCGGGUUGUAAACCUCUUUCAGUAGGGAAGAAGCGAAAGUGACGGUACCUGCAGAAGAAGCACCGGCUAACUACGUG